AACGAACGCUGGCGGCAUGCCUAACACAUGCAAGUCGAACGAAGGCUUCGGCCUUAGUGGCGCACGGGUGCGUAACGCGUGGGAAUCUGCCCUUUGCUUCGGAAUAACAGUGGGAAACUACUGCUAAUACCGGAUGAUGUCUUCGGACCAAAGAUUUAUCGGCAAGGGAUGAGCCCGCGUAGGAUUAGGUAGUUGGUGGGGUAAAGGCCUACCAAGCCGACGAUCCUUAGCUGGUCUGGGAGGAUGAUCAGCCACACUGGGACUGAGACACGGCCCAGACUGCUACGGGAGGCAGCAGUGGGGAAUAUUGGACAAUGGGGGGAACCCUGAUCCAGCAAUGCCGCGUGAGUGAUGAAGGCCUUAGGGUUGUAAAGCUCUUUUACCAGGGAUGAUAAUGACAGUACCUGGAGAAUAAGCUCCGGCUAACUCCGUGCCAGCCGCCGCAGUAACAC
rnacentral:rRNA from 1 species